AUGAGAGGAAUUCAACAUAGAAUUCACUUAAUUCUGGGAGCAAGUCUUCCUAAUCUUCCACACUAUCGAAUGAGCCCAAAGGAGCAUGAUAUAUUGAAGGAGAAAGUGCAGGAAUUGCUGCAAAAGGGGCACAUUCAAGAAAGUAUUAGCCCAUGUGUUGUACCAGCCCUGCUCACGCCUAAGAAAGAUGGAUCUUGGCGCAUGUGUACAGACAGUAGAGCUGGUAACAAGAUCACCUUAAGGUAUGGAUUCCCUAUUCCCCGCCUGGAUGAUAUGUUAGAUCAGCUUAGUGAAGCAAGAGUGUUCACAAAGCUAUAUUUGAGAAGUGGAUAUCUUCAAAUCCGUAUAAGACCCGGGGAUGAAUGGAAAACCGCCUUCAAGAAAAAGGAAGGGUUGUCUGAAUGGCUAGUCAUGCCAUUUGGACUCUCAAAUGCACCAAGUACCUUUAUGCACUUAAUGAAUCAAGUCCUUAGACCCUUCUUAUCCCAGUUUGUUGUGGUCUAUUUCGAUGAAAUCUUGAUCUAUAGCAAGGAUGAGGAUGAAUACUUUGAUCAAAUUCGGAAGGUGCUAGAAGUACUAAGGGAAAAUGAGCUCUACGUCAACUUGAAGAAAUGUGUUUUCCUACAAACACAACUUCUUUUCCUAGGAUUUGUCAUAACAUGUGACGGCAUUCGUGUUGAUGAUUCUAAGGUUGAAGCAAUCCAAGAAUGGCCAACUCCUAAGACCAUUUCUGAGGUAAGAAGCUUUCUUGGCCUUGCAACUUUCUAUAAGUGA
rnacentral:rRNA from 1 species